rnacentral:rRNA from 1 species
GGGCCCGCACAAGCGGUGGAGUAUGUGGUUUAAUUCGAAGAUACGCGCAGAACCUUACCAACACUUGACAUGUUCGUCGCGACUUUAAGAGAUUAAAGUUUUCGGUUCGGCCGGACGAAACACAGGUGCUGCAUGGCUGUCGUCAGCUCGUGUCGUGAGAUGUUGGGUUAAGUCCCGCAACGAGCGCAACCCACAUCCCUAGUUGCCAGCAGUUCGGCUGGGCACUCUAUGGAAACUGCCCGUGAUAAACCGGAGGAAGGUGUGGAUGACGUCAAGUCAUCAUGCCCCUUACAUCCUGGGCUACACACGUACUACAAUGCUACGGACAAAGAGCAGCAAGUUCGCGAGGACAAG